ACGGAGGGUGCAAGCGUUAUCCGGAUUUACUGGGUUUAAAGGGUGCGUAGGCGGCCCUGUAAGUCAGUGCUGAAAUAUCCCGGCUUAACCGGGAGGGUGGCAUUGAUACUGCAGGGCUUGAGUACAGAUGAAGUAGGCGGAAUUAACGGUGUAGCGGUGAAAUGCAUAGAUAUCGUCAAGAACACCGAUAGCGAAGGCAGCUUACUAAGCUGUAACUGACGCUGAGGCACGAAAGUGUGGGGAUCAAACAGGA
rnacentral:rRNA from 1 species